ACGCACGCUUCCUGCCGGCGACGGAACACUGAGAAGCGCAGCUUUAGGGAUGGCCAGCCUCCUGCUUAGCCCACGGCGUGGACAAAUUACAGGAGGAAAGGACACCUAAGCAUCUGAGACAGCAGCAAAUGGAGGUGGCAAACGUAACAGUGUCACCUGCUUUACUCAAAUGUUAAAGUCCUCAAAUGAACAUCUGGACAGGUCUGACCAUCUCACUCCCACCUAUAGCCCUCUUAUUGAUUGCAGCAGUUCUCCAGUAUCCAAGCUAGACGUUCUUAGUGCUCUAAAAAUGAAGUCUGACACCCUGACAUUUAACUGCCCUGCAUUGUGUUCCUGAUCUGGAUUUGGUUUGUUCACACUCUUCCAGAUUUUGUAAGCCACUUUAGUGGUAGAUCCUGAAAGGGAGCUCAUUAAAUGUGUCUAACUUAAAGGAAAAUGCCAUUUUGUUUGAAUGUUACUUACCCUCCAUGUGGUUUAUAGUGAUGACUAAUAAAAAUGUAUU